rnacentral:tRNA from 1 species
CGGGGUAUAGCUCAGCCUGGUAGAGCACUGUCUUCGGGAGGCAGGGGUCGUAGGUUCAAAUCCUGUUACCCCGA